rnacentral:rRNA from 1 species
AUUGAACGCUGGCGGCAGGCCUAAUACAUGCAAGUCGAACGGUAACAUAAAAGAAGCUUGCUUCUUUUGAUGACGAGUGGCGGACGGGUGAGUAAUAUUUGGGAAACUACCUGAUAGAGGGGGACAACAGUUGGAAACGACUGCUAAUACCGCAUAUAGCCUAAGGGUGAAAGCAGCAAUGCGCUAUCAGAUGUGCCCAAACGGGAUUAGCUAGUAGGUGAGGUAAAGGCUCACCUAGGCGACGAUCUCUAGCUGGUCUGAGAGGAUGAUCAGCCACAUUGGGACUGAGACACGGCCCAGACUCCUACGGGAGGCAGCAGUAGGGAAUAUUGCACAAUGGAGGAAACUCUGAUGCAGCCAUGCCGCGUGUGUGAAGAAGGCCUUCGGGUUGUAAAGCACUUUCGGAGGGAGGAAAGAUGACGUUACCUC